GAAAAUGCGGUUGCUCCGGCUGCACUAUCCGUAAUCAAACUCGAACUGGAACGUGUCCGUGAACUGCCAAUUAAAUGCUCAUCCAAGGGAAGCCUAUAACCCUCUUUAUCGUUUAGAGUCUCUACAAACGAUCUAGUCAUAGACAAAGAGCCAGGUCCCAUUCCUUUAAAAAAAGUCAGUCACCGAGAAAUAUUGUAAAAAAAAGGAAGAUUCCGUCCCAGUGCUCUAAAUAUAAAAAAAAUCAUUUUCCUUCAAAAGAGCAACGGAUUUAUGAGAGAGCUUACUCCAAUCACUUACCGUCAGAAACCAUCAUAAUAACAAAUUUUGGUUUCUCAUUGGUCCCUUUGGACUUAUGAGACGAGAAAAAAUAAAAAAAUAUAACGGUUGAUAAAACAAGG